GACCAGACUCCUACGGGAGGCAGCAGUGGGGAAUAUUGCACAAUGGGGGAAACCCUGAUGCAGCGACGCCGCGUGAGUGAAGAAGUAUUUCGGUAUGUAAAGCUCUAUCAGCAGGGAAGAAAGUGACGGUACCUGACUAAGAAGCCCCGGCUAACUACGUGCCAGCAGCCGCGGUAAUACGUAGGGGGCAAGCGUUAUCCGGAUUUACUGGGUGUAAAGGGAGCGUAGACGGCGCUGCAAGUCCGGAGUGAAAGCCCAUGGCUUAACCAUGGUACUGCUCUGGAAACUGUGGAGCUUGAGUGCGGGAGGGGCAGGCGGAAUUCCUAGUGUAGCGGUGAAAUGCGUAGAUAUUAGGAGGAACACCAGUGGCGAAGGCGGCUUACUGGACUGUAACUGACGUUGAGGCUCGAAGGCGUGGGGAGCAAACAGGAUUAGAUACCCCUGUAA
rnacentral:rRNA from 1 species